rnacentral:lncRNA from 1 species
UGAGCAUGUUUCUAACAUUUUAUUAAAAGUUUGUAGACUUUUGAAUGGAUUAAUACACAAUAAACCAUUCAUAAUAAACAUAACAACUUAUUUCAUCACAACUAGGCAAAAAAACUAUCCUGUAAUUUUAACUAUACAUUGAAAAAAAUGUAGGGAUCCUACUACAUGAUCCAUAGAAAAUUUAAUGCAGCAAUACCUCAAAAAGAUGAUAACAACAUUACACAUUCUCAAGAAACCAUAAAAAAAACAGCUAAAAUUUGCCUAGGUUAAAAGUCACAGCGAAACUAAAUUUAGCUUUAAUGAUGAAACUAUAAAUUCAAUGAAAUUUAAAUGAAUUCAUGAUGUUAAUUAUCACUCUUAGAAACAAAACAAACAAAUGAAUUAAUCACUUUUUUUGUAUGGUUAUAGAUCAUUAACAAACUCUUACAUUUUCAAGAUUUGAUCCAAAGGUUGUGGACAAGUCUACAUGCUACAAUCUGAAAUUUUAGAAUAUUUCUUUUUCAAAGAGUUACAUCAUGAUUUUAUAGAUUUGUUUUCAAAGAAUAGAACUGCCCCUAUGCACGUUUUCAGUACAUAAAGAGAGAUAAAUAUUUGAAUGAAACAUAAGUACUAUUUUCCCUAAUUUCAUCUGGAAAAACAUUUAUAAAAUAUAUCAAACAUAAAAAAAAUGCGGACUGCUACACCAUGUAAACACUAAACAAUGUUUAUUUAUACAUUUAAUAUGAGAAUGCUAAAACCUGCAAUAUUUUAUGAUAAUAUCAAAGGUUACAUAAUGCUUGUAAAAUCUUUUUAAAGAUAUCCACAAACUUUGGAUCAAAAUUCUUUUUCUGACAAAGAAGUCAACUUAUGAUCACAGCGAAAAAUAAAUAAAAUUAAAAUUUUCUUUAUAAAUAAUUUUAUAUUAAUUUUAGACAUGAUGCCAUUUUUUUUUUUAUUAUUUCACUAUCACAGAACAAUCUAUUCAACAAAAUUAAUCAACAAUAACAAAAUCAAGCCAUGGAGUUAUUUCCCUUUCCUUUCAUUAUGGUAAAUAUUACCUCCCCUUAUGCCAUUGUCAAAAGGGAUGUAGAAUCAACCAAGAGGUAGAUAUUUCGGUUCAGAAACAUAAUUUAAAAAAGGGCAUACCUCGGGCACAAAAUAUAGUUUUACUAAAGUUUGCUAAAACUGGUUCAUGUUUCACUGACAUGUAAAUCAGUAAUGUUGUCCAAUUAAUUGGGCUAAAAAUUCCUGGAGUGGACCAGCUAGAAAUAAAAACAUUAAAAGGAAGUGGUAUAACGUGUGAAUCUUCUCAUAAAUUAUAUCUAACAGUUGAGGGUUAUCUCUUUCAACAACUUAAAAUUAAAAAAACGAAAUAAAGAAACAAGAAAAUGAACCAACUAAACAAACUAUACUUUCUGUCCAAAGUCAGCCAAGCAAAAGAAAAAAAAAUCAUUAUAAGCUGAUUAGUUAUGAUUCUCAUUCAAACUGAAAGUAGGCUUAUUAGAACAAAUCUUCAAGUUGAAAUAUCCUCAUACAAUUAAUUUUUUUACAGCUUUAAGUAUGUUUUUUUUUUUCGAAGUAACAAAAUUAGAUAUCACAAUAUUUCAGAUUGUUUAGCUGAUUGAAUACAUUAAACUUUCUUGUUUUAAAAAUUUUAAUUUGUGAAUUUAUUACAGUAAACUUAACAAAUAUCUGGUAUUUACUGAAUUGCAAAACAUUUAGCAGUAAUGAAUGACAUUGUUUACAAGUUUGUAUGCAAGUGGUACCACCUCCUUGAAAGGGGCUUGUGUGGGGUUUUCAUCUUCUAGUUUUCAUAAUUGUAUAAUCCGUACACAAAAUUACCAAAAAGGAAAUAAAAAUGGUAGUCAAAUCACAGCACCAAAUGAAGAAGUACUAUUAACCAAAAACAGUCGAUGAAUUCAUGAAAAAUGACUCGGUAAAAACAUAAGUGAAUUAGGCUGCAAUAUUCUAAUCUAAUUAAAAAUUCUUUUAUUGUAAAAAGACAUGCAUGAAUAUUGUAGCACUGGUAAAAAUUUGACGUACAACUGGAUGGACGAAUAGCAGCAGAUUCAGUAUAUUGAGCCAGUCAUUCAAAGAACAUUAAAAAUUAGGUUAAAUAUAUACUAAUAUAUGUAUAAUAUAUAUAUAAAUCUUAUAUAUAAAUAGUACAUUUCUCUAAGACAAAUAUAUUACAAUAUAAUAUUCAAUAGAAUGUACAUCACCGUUAUACACUCAAUAGAUACCUAUAAAUUAGUUACCGGUGUUAGCUAAUAAGAUACAUGUAAAAAAUGGUUGUCAAUGACAGGACCGGGUAGGGUGGGAAAAGAUAUUCUUUUCAAUAUUGAUGUUUGGGUAUAACCGGCAAAUUUGUUUCUGACAUGAUUGUGAAACCGCCACAACUGUUGAUUAAUAGAAAUAAACACUGUGGUGAAAAUGACAUUGUUCCAUUAUCUUGCUUUAACAACCAAUAUGGAAUUAUAUAUGAAUUUUCUACAUCAAGACUCAAUCCAUGAAACAUUACAAGAUCUACCAUUAUACAAUGUUAUACAUUGCAAAAAUUUACCUAAAAAUUUCAAACCUUGACAUGAAAAUAUGUUAUAAUGAAUUUAAUUGGUACACUCACCCCAAUGUUUUUUUAGGUAACAAAUAUUUAAUGGAGCCACAGUUACAUAUUGAAAAGUUUGAAUCAUUUUCAUACAAUAUUUUUCUAAAACUAAAAUAUGUAUGUUGUAUACCCUGUAUCCAUGGUAAUACUGUAGGUACCCAAAGACAAAAUGUACACUGUAUAUCACAUCUAGACUAGAGAUCAGAGACCUGUAACCAUGCCAACGGCUAUUACAGUAAGAUUUGUUUUCUCACUUACAGUGAAACUUUAAAUAUUGAGACAGUACUUUUGUUCAUGGGUUAUAAAUUUUAUGGAUUUUAAUGCAAAUCAAAAUCUAAGAAUGUGCAACAAAAUAAAUAUCUUCUCAUUUGUAACUUUGUUUGGGCCUGAAACCAAAAAGAUACCUACAAACUAUAAUGAUAUUUCAACCAAUAUCUAAAAAUCUAUAACCAGGAAUAAAAGUACUGUCACGUUUAAUUUAUAAAAGAUGUAGAAUUUUAGUCUAAAACUUUCUCUUUUAUUUUUCUUUUAACUGAUGUUGAAAAAGGUACCAAACAUUGAAUAUAACUAAUAUUUACAAUUUGUUUCAAAAAGAAAUUAGACAUAAAUAGAUAUGAUGUAAUGAAAUGUUAACAAGUAAAUGAUAUUUCUCAAAUUUAAUACUGAUAUAAACACCAUGUCUGCGUCUAACAACAAUAACUACUCUUCUAUGGAGACUUCCUUAUAAUCUUGGUACCUUUGAUAACUAAUUAUACAAUAUGACACGCUUACAUUCAUAUGUAAAUAUAAUGAAUGUCGAAAAGAUCUUCUUUAUAAUUCAUGAAAUACUGCACAACCAUACUAUUUAUAUUCUUAAAUCAUGGUUUAAAAAAAGAAUACUAGUAUUGAAAGUACUUUUUGUUUUGUGUGUGUAAAAUUUACAAAAUUAUAAUGAAAUUUUAUGAAAUUUAAACUGCAGAUUGAGAAUACUUGACUACAUACACUUUUGUUUAUUUGUUGAAUGCAAUGCUUUAUAAUUGUGUCACUUACGUUACUUCUAUGGUUUAUUGUAACAUGUGAGGUAGUGUAAUACUGAUUCAGUGGCGGAUUCCAGGCGGGGGGGGGGGUUCUGGGUCGACCCCUUUUUUUGGCCGAUCAAUGCUUUUGAAUGGGGACAUAUAGUUGGAACCCCCCUUUGUCCUGGGUUGGGAACCCCCCCUUUUUAAAAUGGCUGGAUCUACCACUGUGAUUUGAUAUAACAGUAUCAUGUUGGCAUAAUCAGCAGUUUCUUCAAGACUCCAUUGAUAAAAAAACAGAAAAAUUUCUUUCUCAAAAUAAUUUUAAAGAUAAAAUGUUCUACCAAUUUGAUCCUUGUGGUAUCAGGAAAUUGACAAAUCAAAACAAAAGGUUGAUCUGUCUGUCUCACCCUUAAAAGAAAAAUACUGUUAAAGCUUUGAUUGGACUAAAUAAACGAUUUCUUUAAAAGGGAAGAAAGGUUUUUAGAAACGCCUCAUAAGUCUUAAAGCUAGACAAGAUAAAUCAGACACGCUUUCAAUUUUUCUUUUAAGUUACUGUAUUUUAUACCAGUGCAUACUGCCAGUAAAUUUCCUUUUGAAAACAAAUUUGCUAUCAUAUUGAAAUUUGAGAGAGCAUCCCAUGAGAGAACAUCCCAAAUUAUCAAAUCUUAGAUAAUCAGGUUGAAGAAAAUAUAUUUUUGGAUACCUCAUCUCUCCCUUCAACAGUGAUUUAAAAGACAUAACAAAAUAUCUAACAAUCAGUAGAUCUUGAUUUAAUGUUCAUAUGACAAUGAUUAGAUUUUGUGGUUUUGUCUAUUUCUCAGAUACUAAUAUUAUCAAUAAAGCCAUUGUGUUCGGUGUAUGGAAUGAUUGUAAGGUGAACAUGUCCAACUGGCAGAUUUUAUCUGACCUUGACCUUAUUUUCAUGAUUCAUUAGACAGUGUUAAGUUUCUAUGGUUUGGUCUAUUUCUCAGAUACUAUAAGCAAAAGGUCAGCUAUAUUUGGGGUAUGGACCCGGUUUGAGGUUAUUGAAUAUAAAGGGACAUGAUAGAUUCAGCUUGACAAAACUUGUCAAAAGAGGAAAAGUUGAAAGUUUUAUUGAGUUAGCACAUUUUUACAAUGUAAACAGAUCGUAACUUUUUCCACUGCAUUUAUUUCUUUAGAGAUAAUAACACACAAUCAAAUAAAGCAUUGUCCCAUUCUGUUCA